GAUGAACGCUGGCGGCGUGCCUAACACAUGCAAGUCGAGCGGUAUACAUUGGAUUGAAACUUCGGUCGAAUGAAGAUGUAGAGAGCGGCGGACGGGUGAGUAACGCGUAGGCAACCUGCCCCAUACAGAGGGAUAGCCUCGGGAAACCGGGAUUAAAACCUCAUAACGCGGGAGAGUCACAUGGCUUUUCCGCCAAAGAUUUAUCGGUAUGGGAUGGGCCUGCGUCUGAUUAGCUAGUUGGUGGGGUAACGGCCUACCAAGGCAACGAUCAGUAGCCGACCUGAGAGGGUAAUCGGCCACAUUGGAACUGAGACACGGUCCAA
rnacentral:rRNA from 1 species